rnacentral:rRNA from 1 species
CACGGCCUAUCAGCUUGUUGGUGAGGUAAAGGCUCACCAAGGCGAUGACGGGUAGCCGGCCUGAGAGGGUGACCGGCCACACUGGGACUGAGACACGGCCCAGACUCCUACGGGAGGCAGCAGUGGGGAAUAUUGCACAAUGGGCGAAAGCCUGAUGCAGCGACGCCGCGUGCGGGAUGACGGCCUUCGGGUUGUAAACCGCUUUCAGCAGGGAAGAAGCGAAAGUGACGGUACCUGCAGAAGAAGCGCCGGCUAACUACGUGCCAGCAGCCGCGGUAAUACGUAGGGCGCGAGCGUUAUCCGGAAUUAUUGGGCGUAAAGAGCUCGUAGGCGGUUUGUCACGUCUGCUGUGAAAGCCCGGGGCUCAACCCCGGGUGUGCAGUGGGUACGGGCAGACUAGAGUGCAGUAGGGGAGACUGGAAUUCCUGGUGUAGCGGUGAAAUGCGCAGAUAUCAGGAGGAACACCGAUGGCGAAGGCAGGUCUCUGGGCUGUUACUGACGCUGAGGAGCGAAAGCAUGGGGAGCGAACAAGAUUAGAUACCCUGGUAGUCCAUGCCGUAAACGUUGGGCACUAGGUGUGGGGAACAUUCCACGUUUUCCGCGCCGUAGCUAACGCAUUAAGUGCCCCGCCUGGGGAGUACGG